rnacentral:rRNA from 1 species
ACGGGAGGCAGCAGUGAGGAAUAUUGGUCAAUGGGCGCUAGCCUGAACCAGCCAAGUAGCGUGAAGGAUGAAGGCUCUAUGGGUCGUAAACUUCUUUUAUAUAAGAAUAAAGUGCAGUAUGUAUACUGUUUUGUAUGUAUUAUAUGAAUAAGGAUCGGCUAACUCCGUGCCAGCAGCCGCGGUAAUACGGAGGAUCCGAGCGUUAUCCGGAUUUAUUGGGUUUAAAGGGAGCGUAGGUGGACUGGUAAGUCAGUUGUGAAAGUUUGCGGCUCAACCGUAAAAUUGCAGUUGAUACUGUCAGUCUUGAGUACAGUAGAGGUGGGCGGAAUUCGUGGUGUAGCGGUGAAAUGCUUAGAUAUCACGAAGAACUCCGAUUGCGAAGGCAGCUCACUGGACUGCAACUGACACUGAUGCUCGAAAGUGUGGGUAUCAAACAGGAUUAGAUACCCUGGUA